rfam:Ciona savignyi cont_24541, whole genome shotgun sequence.
UCCCAGGUGGUCUAGUGGUUAGGAUUCGUGGCUCUCACCCACGCGGUCCGGGUCCAAUUCCCGGUCUGGGAA